AAUCUGUCUGUUAAGUAGUAGUGUCGUAGAUGAUGAUUUAGAAAUUCAUCUUGGCACGAUUACUUUUCAUAUAGAAAUA